GCUAGUAAUCGCGGAUCAGCAUGCCGCGGUGAAUACGUUCCCGGGCCUUGUACACACCGCCCGUCACACCAUGGGAGCCGGUAAUACCCGAAGUCAGUAGUCCAACCUCGUGAGGACGCUGCCGAAGGUAGGAUUGGCGACUGGGGUGAAGUCGUAACAAGGUAGC
rnacentral:rRNA from 1 species